rnacentral:rRNA from 1 species
UACGUAGGGGGCAAGCGUUGUCCGGAAUCAUUGGGCGUAAAGAGCUCGUAGGCGGCCUGUUGCGUCCGCUGUGAAAGCCCGGGGCUUAACCCCGGGUCGGCAGUGGAUACGGGCAGGCUAGAGGUAGGUAGGGGAGAAUGGAAUUCCCGGUGUAGCGGUGAAAUGCGCAGAUAUCGGGAGGAACGACCGGUGGCGAAGGCGGUUCUCUGGGCCUUACCUGACGCUGAGGAGCGAAAGCGUGGGGAGCGAACAGG